rnacentral:ncRNA from 1 species
GCGGGCUUGGAAUUAAGAUGCUGUGGGCCCGCAUCAGCGCGUCUAAGCUGGUGAUCACGGGGAUCUUUGCACGCCAGCAAGUAUAGCCGCGUCACUCUAAAGUAGGCCGCCGGGGGGUAGCUCGCCAUUGCUCCGGUGCUCCGAAUUUUAUGUGAGUUGACGCGCCGCGCGCUUCAAAGGGGUGGCCGUUGUGGUGACGGCCAGAAAGCGCGGACGCCG